rnacentral:tRNA from 1 species
GGAUCGUUAGCUCAGAUGGUAGAGCAGUUGACUCUUAAUCAAUUGGUCGUAGGUUCGACUCCUACACGAUCCACCA